AGGCUAGUAGCUCCAAUCUGGUAGAGCGUCGGAUUCCAAAUCCGAAUGUUGGGGGUUCGAGUCCCUCCUGGCCUG
rnacentral:tRNA from 1 species